UUUAUAAAUUAGUGAAUUAUUUUAAGUCGAAAAACUAUAUUAAUUUGAAACACUCUCUUAAAGCCACUGAAAUUAAAUCACUUAUCAUUCAUUUUUCCUCAUUUGACUAUAAUAUUGUUCAAGAUUCAAUCGACAAUGCUAUCUUACAAAAUUUACUCUACGCAACGUGAUGAAAGUAUUUUAAAAAUUAUUUUCACAAAAUAUAUUCACAUACCAUGUCUUAAGAUAAAUAGUGAAUCUAUGAUUAUUAACGGCAACGUUAAUGUCGCUAUCAUUAUCGACAUAGAUAAUUAUAGAAUACGAUAAUAUCUGAAGCAUUAUCGAUUACGACAUAAUCAUGAGUUAUGAUGAAUUUCAUUCGAAUUUCUGGUUCUAACAGUUGUAAAAAUAAAGUUAAAUUAGAAAAAUAUAGUGAACUAUUGUUAUUCCUUUUAAAUUCUGAUAUCACUAUAAGAACUUCAUAAAAAAACUGUUAUUCUGCCUAUAUUUUCUUUUAAUUAAACACGUGUUUUCUUGAUUUAGAGCAACCCUAACCCUGUGACCUUGUACAUUAGUAGACAAGACUUGUAGUUGUAUCCAUUUUAUCUUUACUUGUCCGAACACAAUGGAAUUUCAGUCCCUUCUUGCUCAAAAUGGAACAAGUUGUCAGGAAUUUGAAGCUUUCCCCGGGUGAGUGAAGGCCAUUCAGGUAUCUUCCCACGAAAAAUAGGAGGAAGUAAUGGAAUGCAGCACACCUGCAUGAAUAUACAAGAACGAGACCGUUUUGGUUUUACUUUCGCUGGUGUGAAGAAGUUCCCUGGCUUUCUUCCUUUUAUCUGUCUUUUCCCUUCUGUCGCCAAAUACACCAGAAAAGCAAUCAUCCGUCACGAUUUCAACCUAAAAUAGAGCAAUGCGAUGCAAUAAAAUGUCUGUGGAAUUAUUAAAGAACAUACGAAUGAAAAAUACAUAAUAAUUGCAUAUUUGUUUAAAAAAUGUAUAGUGCGAAACGGACCACCCUGAAUAACUUUCGAUAUAAUGACCGGAUCUUCACUUUCUAGGACUCCAUCUCAGUGAUUCAAGUGAUUUUAAUAUUAAUAUGAAUGCUAAGAAGUAAAAGAAUGUGGCGUCUUAAGAAACGUUCAUGUGUUGGAGUAGAAAACCAAACCAGUCCAUUGGACGAAAAGAGCCCAUGGAUGCAGUUUUUGCCACCCAGAACUUGAAAUACUGUGGCGUUUAUGAAAGUCUAUACAGAAAAUUAAAUGACUCACAGGGCAUAUUUGAAGGAAAGCUGUUCCUACGAAGAAAAGAAUUGAACGUGCAGUAUUUUCUUCCAAUAAGAACCCGCAAUUGGAGUUCCCGAUUAAACAGCUGUCGCUUCAAUCAGUAUUUGCACCUGGCCAAGGAUAUUUGAGGCACACGAUCAAGCGAAAGGUGAAAAGAAAAAAAAUGAAAUAAAAUAACUGGUCUACCAUCUGCGACAAAAGCGACUGGAAAAGUGUAGCAGCUACUGAUUACACCACAAACAGCUUGUUGCUGUCUGGUAUCAGAGCGUUCGCAAAGUAUAGAAAGUAGUUUGUAUUUAAAAGAAGAAAAAAAAUCUGGUAAAAUUACAACACUCUAUGGUAAUGGCACUUCUAGUAAAGAGAACCAGAAUUCUGGUAACAAAAACCAAAAUAUGCGUUAUUUAAAACAUUCAUUUGAUAUUUUUUCCGUUCAUGUGGUAACGGUUUACCGG